AACGCACCUUGCGCCCAUUGGUAUUCCGAUGGGCAUGCCUGUUUGAGUGUCUUGAAAUCAUCAAGCCCGUUCGGUUUCACCGCCGAGCGGGGUUGGACUUGGGGGCUUGCCGCUUCGCCGCGGCUCCCCUUAAAUGCAUCGGUUUCGGGUCUCUGUGGGAGUCACCCCUUGGGCGUUGUAUAACCCUCGCUGUCUGGGAACUCCACGCGACGUCCGCGUCGUUGAAGGGCCUUGAAGAAACCUCGACCUGCUGUAGAGUGGCGGUCAAUGUUAAAUCGAGAUCUGACCUCAAAUCAGGUAGGACUACCCGCUGAACUUAA
rnacentral:rRNA from 1 species